rnacentral:rRNA from 1 species
UACCGAAUAAGGUCAAUUGAGGUGUUAAUUGAUGAAAGGAAGCCUUUAAAGCUUCGCUUGUAGAUGAGUCUGCGUCUUAUUAGCUAGUUGGUGGGAUAAGAGCCUACCAAGGCUAUGAUAAGUAACCGGCCUGAGAGGGUGAUCGGUCACACUGGAACUGAGAUACGGUCCAGACUCCUACGGGAGGCAGCAGCUAAGAAUCUUCCGCAAUGGGCGAAAGCCUGACGGAGCGACACUGCGUGAACGAAGAAGGUCGAAAGAUUGUAAAGUUCUUUUAUAAGUGAGGAAUAAGCUUUGUAGGAAAUGACAAAGUGAUGACGUUAAUUUAUGAAUAAGCCCCGGCUAAUUACGUGCCAGCAGCCGCGGUAAUACGUAAGGGGCGAGCGUUGUUCGGGAUCAUUGGGCGUAAAGGGUGAGUAGGCGGAUAUGCAAGUCUAUGUGUAAAAUACCACAGCUCAACUGUGGAACUAUGCUGGAAACUGCAUGACUAGAGUCUGAUAGGGGAAGUUAGAAUUCCUGGUGUAAGGGUGGAAUCUGUUGAUAUCAGGAAGAAUACCAGAGGCGAAGGCGAACUUCUAGGUCAAGACUGACGCUGAGUCACGAAAGCGUAGGGAGCAAACAGGAUUAGAUACCCUGGUAGUCUACGCUGUAAACGAUGCACACUUGGUGUUAAUCGAAAGGUUAGUACCGAAGCUAACGUGUUAAGUGUGCCGCCUGGGGAGUAUGUUCGCAAGAAUGAAACUCAAAGGAAUUGACGGGGGCCCGCACAAGCGGUGGAGCAUGUGGUUUAAUUCGAUGAUACGCGAGGAACCUUACCAGGGCUUGACAUAUACAGGAUAUAGUUAGAGAUGACUAUUCCCCGUUUGGGGUCUGUAUACAGGUGCUGCAUGGUUGUCGUCAGCUCGUGCCGUGAGGUGUUGGGUUAAGUCCCGCAACGAGCGCAACCCUUAUUGUCUGUUACCAGCAUGUAAAGAUGGGGACUCA